rnacentral:rRNA from 1 species
GGGACACGUGGUAUCCUGUCUGAAUAUGGGGGGACCAUCCUCCAAGGCUAAAUACUCCUGACUGACCGAUAGUGAACCAGUACCGUGAGGGAAAGGCGAAAAGAACCCCGGCGAGGGGAGUGAAAAAGAACCUGAAACCGUGUACGUACAAGCAGUGGGAGCCUCUUAAUGGGGUGACUGCGUACCUUUUGUAUAAUGGGUCAGCGACUUAUAUUCUGUAGCAAGGUUAACCGAAUAGGGGAGCCGAAGGGAAACCGAGUCUUAACUGGGCGUUAAGUUGCAGGGUAUAGACCCGAAACCCGGUGAUCUAGCCAUGGGCAGGUUGAAGGUUGGGUAACACUAACUGGAGGACCGAACCGACUAAUGUUGAAAAAUUAGCGGAUGACUUGUGGCUGGGGGUGAAAGGCCAAUCAAACCGGGAGAUAGCUGGUUCUCCCCGAAAGCUAUUUAGGUAGCGCCUCGUGAAUUCAUCUCCGGGGGUAGAGCACUGUUUCGGCAAGGGGGUCAUCCCGACUUACCAACCCGAUGCAAACUGCGAAUACCGGAGAAUGUUAUCACGGGAGACACACGGCGGGUGCUAACGUCCGUCGUGAAGAGGGAAACAACCCAGACCGCCAGCUAAGGUCCCAAAGUCAUGGUUAAGUGGGAAACGAUGUGGGAAGGCCCAGACAGCCAGGAUGUUGGCUUAGAAGCAGCCAUCAUUUAAAGAAAGCGUAAUAGCUCACUGGUCGAGUCGGCCUGCGCGGAAGAUGUAACGGGGCUAAACCAUGCACCGAAGCUGCGGCAGCGACACUAUGUGUUGUUGGGUAGGGGAGCGUUCUGUAAGCCUGUGAAGGUGGCCUGUGAGGGUUGCUGGAGGUAUCAGAAGUGCGAAUGCUGACAUAAGUAACGAUAAAGCGGGUGAAAAGCCCGCUCGCCGGAAGACCAAGGGUUCCUGUCCAACGUUAAUCGGGGCAGGGUGAGUCGACCCCUAAGGCGAGGCCGAAAGGCGUAGUCGAUGGGAAACAGGUUAAUAUUCCUGUACUUGGUGUUACUGCGAAGGGGGGACGGAGAAGGCUAUGUUGGCCGGGCGACGGUUGUCCCGGUUUAAGCGUGUAGGCUGGUUUUCCAGGCAAAUCCGGAAAACCAAGGCUGAGGCGUGAUGA